rnacentral:lncRNA from 1 species
UACCUCUAUUGCUUACUUGGACAGUUCUUAUGGCUGGCUGUGAGAGGCCCAAUUCUAAGAUGUAUCCCAAGAUUUGUACCCUACAGUGUACACAUCCUGUGUACAUUUCUCCCCUUAAAAGAAAACACGACUGUGAAUAUAAUAGAGCAUCACUCCUGUAAUUAGGUUAGCUUAUAUGACAAGGAUGUAAUUAAAGUCCCUAAUCAAUUAACUUUAAGGCAGUCAAAAAGAGGUGAUUUAUCCUGGUGGGCUUCAUCUUAUCACUCUAGCCCUUUAAAUCAGGGCUAGAGGUCAGAAACAGAAUCUAAGAGAUUUGAAGCCACAGCACAGCUGUCCUGUUCACCUUGAAGGAGCAAACUGCCAUAUGGCAGGAAAUGGCAGGUGGACUCUAGGAGCUGAGAAAGGCUCCUGGGUGACAGCCAACAAGAAAGUGGGCACCUUAAUCCUACGAAUGCAAGUAACUGAAUUCUGGCAACAACCACUGAACUUGGGAAAGGACACACACGGAGCCUCAGAUGAGAUCGCUAACCCAGCCAACACCUUGAUUUCAGCCUGAUAAGACCCUGAGCUGAGGACUCAGCCAACCAGUACCUGGACUUACGGAAUAUGUGACUGAGACAUGCAGAUGGAAACACGGACUGAAACUAAGGAGCCAAUUCAGGGCCGAAUUGUGUGUUGCACUGGCGUC